ensembl:lncRNA
GGACAGCUUUCUUUUCCUGUGGUGUUUGACAAAGGAUCUGCCAGCGCUUAGUGAGGGCUGCAAAAAUCAGUUCCUGCUGCCUGAAGGAGCCUGUGCUUCUGGUGAGGUGAGAGCACAGCUCGGAGUCAUCUGUUACACCAAUGAGGAGAAGCACGCACUUCAGGAGAAAAGCAGAUGAAGAGGGUUUUCUUUCCACUCCAGUAACUCACAGCAGAUUCUUGUCUAUCCAUGUGUUGGACAGCUGAGAAUACAGCAAGCUGUUGAGUAAGAGGUUCAGAUAUUCAAGGAGGCCAAACUCUUAAAAUAUCAACAGAAGCAUAUCUUAAUUUUCUUAAAUUAUCUGAGGGCUGUGGAAAAAGGAGGCAGGGAAGAAAAGAGGGAUUUCCAGGAAUCUCAAAUAAUGUUGGUUUAAACUAUUUAAAAGCUGGAUGAUCGAGUUUUUAAGGGUGUACCCACAGGAAGAGGAAAGAAAGUGGAAGGGCUGAUAAGCUUUCGACAGGACAACACUCUUCAGGCAAGAUGUGGAUCUAUUAAAGAAUAUCCAGAAGAAAGAAAUGAAAAUUUUAAAAUAAGCCUGCAAGCUUGGAAAAAUGGGUUUGUCUUAUCUUGAAAAGACUGAUAGCAGCUAAAGAGAUGAUCUGAAAACAACCUUCCAAUACAUAAAAUGUUGCCGCAUGAAUGAAAUAAAAUAAACAGUUCUGUGUGUUCACAGCAUGCAGAAUAAAAAACAGUAAACUUGAAUUCCAGCAGCUGUUCUCAGAAGGAUGCGUUCUGUCUUCAAGGACAACUUGAAUGUUGGAGAACUUUAUCCCAGAAGAUGGUGAACCAUCCGCACCAACGAGAAUUCAGAGAUCGAUCUUUGGUUACAAGUACCAUGUGGUGCACGAAAAGCACAGAGGAACCAAGGUCCAGAAGAGCUUAUACUGCAGCCAUGUGACAACAUACAGCUGUUUGAAGGAACCGAGACCUAUUGCAGCGGCUGAAUGAGGUCCCAGGGAAGUACGAGGGGAAAGAAAAUCAUCAGGGAUAAGUUCUAGAAAUGCCUCCACUUUGAAGGUGAGUCUUUGUGUGCUGCUUACCAGCAACAUGAUGGUCCUUUCUGUUGUCUGCUCCUCCUUGAAGGCCAAUCAGUCUGAGAACAAGAUGACCUUUCAUUGACCUUUCUUGUAUAUUUCAUGACCUUCACAUACAGUAUAUGCCUGGUUUGCUUUGAAGUCCUGUUAGACAGAAGCUCUUCUUCUGGUACCUUAUAACCUGAAGUUCAUUAUAAACCUGAGUGGCAAUUCCUGAUUCCAGAAGCUAGUUACAAAAAUACCUUUCUUGUUGGCUGAGGUGCCACAUACUAUAAUUGAAAAGCAGGAGCAGUCUAAAUAUUGUCCUGUAUCUCUGCUACUGCAGAACAGUUCAUAAAUAAUAAUGAUAGGGACUGGGCUGGAGAACUGAAGGUGAGAGGGAGCCUUUUGAAAAAAAGCUGCAAUAAGAAGGGUAAGGAUGAAAUGUUGCAGCAUUGUAUGAUGUUAUAAUUGGCCAGUGCAAUUACAUUUUGUUUACCUUAUUGGUAAUGCAAUUUAUUUUCACAGGUACACUUUGAGAAUUGUAAGUGUUAGAUGUGCUGCAGAACUACGCUGGCUAUACUGAUGUAUUUCCCUUGGACCUUUGCAAACUUUGGAAGAAUAGGAUUACAUGCAAAUAACUCUUGGCGGGAUACGUGGCUAUUGAUUUGUAAAGGGAGCUGCUCUUUGAUUUUUUGAGAAUAAUUACAGAAUCUCACCGUUUUCUUUCUGUGUUACUGAUGGCUGAAGGGCUUCCAUAGCAGGGAAUCUAAUCUCAGGAGAAUUGUGAACUCUGUCUUUCUAAGUUGAGAUGGCAUGUUGCCAUUGUCAUUUGUACUAAUGCCUGAUUUGGGUGGCAAGGAAUAACUGCAUGAAUAAGAAAAUAAAUGCAUC